rnacentral:rRNA from 1 species
AGUGAACGCUGGCGGUAGGCCUAACACAUGCAAGUCGAACGGCAGCACAGGAGAGCUUGCUCUCUGGGUGGCGAGUGGCGGACGGGUGAGGAAUACAUCGGAAUCUACUCUGUCGUGGGGGAUAACGUAGGGAAACUUACGCUAAUACCGCAUACGACCUACGGGUGAAAGCAGGGGACCUUCGGGCCUUGCGCGAUUGAAUGAGCCGAUGUCGGAUUAGCUAGUUGGCGGGGUAAAGGCCCACCAAGGCGACGAUCCGUAGCUGGUCUGAGAGGAUGGUCAGCCACACUGGAACUGAGACACGGUCCAGACUCCUACGGGAGGCAGCAGUGGGGAAUAUUGGACAAUGGGCGCAAGCCUGAUCCAGCCAUACCGCGUGGGUGAAGAAGGCCUUCGGGUUGUAAAGCCCUCUUGUUGGGAAAGAAAUCCAGCUGGCUAAUACCCGGUUGGGGUGACGGUACCCAAAGAAUAAGCACCGGCUAACUUCGUGCCAGCAGCCGCAGUAA